UCCCUUGGUCCUCGUAUUUGUGUGAAAAUCUCAGUUCGGUCCUCAAGUUUUGAAUUGUCUCAAUUGGGUCAUAAUUUUUGUAAAAAUGCACACAUUUUACCCCAACCGUUAACUNAUCUCAAACGGCGUUAAGUUUAGCUGACGUGUUGACUUAAUCCCUUCUUGGUCCUCGUAUUUGUGUGAAAAUUUCAGAUCGGUCCUCAAGUUUUGAACUGUCUCAAUUGGGUCAUAAUUUUUGUAAAAAUGCACAC
rnacentral:lncRNA from 1 species